AGAAUCAACGCUGGCAGCGUGCCUAACACAUGCAAGUCGAACGAGAAAGUGGAGCAAUCCAUGAGUAAAGUGGCGCACGGGUGAGUAACACGUGACUAACCUACCUUUUAGUGGGGGAUAACCUAGGGAAACCUGGGCUAAUACCGCAUAAUACCUACGGGUCAAAGCAGCAAUGCGCUGAAAGAGGGGGUCGCGGUCGAUUAGUUAGUUGGCAGGGUAAUGGCCUACCAAGACUGUGAUCGAUAUCCGGCCUGAGAGGGCGCACGGACACACUGGAACUGAAACACGGUCCAGACUCCUACGGGAGGCAGCAGUGGGGAAUUUUGCGCAAUGGGGGAAACCCUGACGCAGCAACGCCGCGUGGAGGAUGAAGUCCCUUGGGACGUAAACUCCUUUCGAUCGGGACGAUAAUGACGGUACCGGAAGAAGAAGCCCCGGCUAACUUCGCGCCAGCAGCCGC
rnacentral:rRNA from 1 species